rnacentral:rRNA from 1 species
AUUACCUCAGUAACGGCGAGUGAAGCGGUAACAGCUCAAAUUUGAAAUCUGGCCUCACGGUCCGAGUUGUAAUUUGUAGAGGAUGCUUCGAGCAUGGUCUGGCCUAAGUUCCUUGGAACAGGACGUCAUAGAGGGUGAGAAUCCCGUAUGCGGCCAGGUGCCUACGCUCAUGUGAAGCUCCUUCGACGAGUCGAGUUGUUUGGGAAUGCAGCUCAAAAUGGGUGGUAAAUUUCAUCUAAAGCUAAAUAUUGGCCAGAGACCGAUAGCGCACAAGUAGAGUGAUCGAAAGAUGAAAAGCACUUUGGAAAGAGAGUUAAACAGUACGUGAAAUUGUUGAAAGGGAAGCGCUUGCAACCAGACUUGCGCGCGGCUGAUCAUCCGGUGUUCUCACCGGUGCACUCGGCCGUGCUCAGGCCAGCAUCGGUUUUGGCGGCUGGAUAAAGGCCCUAGGAAUGUGGCUCCUCUCGGGGAGUGUUAUAGCCUAGGGUGCAAUGCAGCCUGCUGGGACCGAGGACCGCGCUUCGGCUAGGAUGCUGGCGUAAUGGUUGUAAGCGGCCCGUCUUGAAACACGGACCAAGGAGUCUAACAUCUAUGCGAGUGUUUGGGUGUCAAACCCAUACGCGUAAUGAAAGUGAACGGAGGUGAGAACCCUUAAGGGUGCAUCAUCGACCGAUCCUGAUGUCUUUCGGAAGGAUUUGAGUAAGAGCAUAGCUGUUGGGACCCGAAAGAUGGUGAAACUAUGCCUGAAU